GACGAACGCUGGCGGCGUGCUUAACACAUGCAAGUCGAACGAUGAAGCCGGAGCUUGCUCUGGUGAAUUAGUGGCGAACGGGUGAGUAACACGUGAGUAACCUGCCCUUGACUCUGGGAUAACUGCUAGAAAUGGUAGCUAAUACCGGAUACGACCCUCGGAGGCAUCUUCAGGGGGUGGAAAGAAUUUCGGUCAAGGAUGGACUCGCGGCCUAUCAGCUAGUUGGUGAGGUAAUGGCUCACCGAGGCGGCGACGGGUAGCCGGCCUGGGAGGGUGACCGGCCACACUGGGACUGAGACACGGCCCAGACUCCUACGGGAGGCAGCAGUGGGGAAUAUUGCACAAUGGGCGCAAGCCUGAUGCAGCAACGCCGCGUGAGGGAUGACGGCCUUCGGGUUGUAAACCUCUUUUAGUAGGGAAGAAGCGAAAGUGACGGUACCUGCAGAAAAAGCACCGGCUAACUACGUGCCAGCCGCCGCAGUAA
rnacentral:rRNA from 1 species